ensembl:lncRNA
ACGCACAUACAUAAUUUACAGUACAGAAACAUACACACGCUAAUGCUGUUAUUGCUACUCUGGCAAUUUUAUUUUAAAAGCUACAUGAUAUUUCUCACAAGCGAGGUAACAGCACUGUUUAUGAAGAAAAUUAACUUAAAGUUUCACUGUUAGUAUAGACGCUGCUGCCGAACAAUUUUGAGAGACACAUAAACUCAGAGAGGUAAUACUCUCUCUCUCUCUCUCUCUCUCUCUCUCUCUCUCUCUCUCUCUCUCUCUCUCUCUCUCUCUCUCUCUCUCUCUCUCUCUAUCGGAGUGGAUGCUGGGAACGAGUGCGUGUGUGAGAGACACGUGUGUGAGAGCGUCUGGCUUUUUUCAGUUUCCUUUAAGCUAUAUAAUUGCUUUUUCGUUUUUUUUUCUUAUUUAUUUAUUUUUAUUUUUUUCCAUUUUCUUUCACCUUUCAAAACACUUUUUUUAGGGAAGGUUUUAUUGUUAUUUCGUGUGGGGUGCGAGUGUGAGGCAACAUGACGUCCACCCCCGCGGGGGUGGCGUCGCCUCUCACCCUCCGGAAUGGUUUCAGGUGUACACCGGAGGCGAACACUGCUAUUGAGGAUGUUCUCCUUGCCGUCGGAGCCAAAGUUGGUCAUGAAAAUAUUAGCUCGGCUUCAAGAAUGAAUAAGGCAGUAGUCGUUUUUAAAAAAAAUGAAAAUCAGGUGAAAACCUUGAUUGAAAGCGGAAUAUGGAUCAAUGAAACGGUAUCUCAUGGAGAAGGUUCAUAUAUGGUGUAUGCUAGUACGGAGACUUUACGGUGCUUUGAGUGCGGGGAUUUUGGUCACAAACGGUUCACUUGUCCUCACAAAGCGCGUAAUCAUGAAGAGGAAGGCUCGUCUGAAGGCCCAGUCAAUACCCAGCUAGAAAUGUUACGUUCCCAGGACGUUCUCAGAACGUCCCCACUAGUGUCAAGGACGUCGCCUAGUAACGUUCCGGGAACGUUCGGAGACGGUCAUGAUGUGGAGUUCUUUAAAGGGUCGGGGGACGUUAUUUUGCGGACCUUCACAGAACAUUCAGGACGUUAUCGGAACGUUUAGGGGACCAUGUUUUAUUUGGAAAUGUGAUGUUCCCAGAACGUUCUAAGAACAUCCCCACUGGUCUCAAGGACCUGUAGGGAACCAAACUAGAAUGUUACUGCAAAAAACACUUCAGAACCUUAAUCAGGAAUAAGCAUGCACGUUUAACACACUCAAAGAUAAAAUCAGUCAUUUAUUUAUUUAUUUUGUGUGAACAAAAACAGAUUUUUCCAAAUAUUAGGAAACAGUAAUAACAACAAGAACAACGAUUUAUAUUAAUUUUAUGUUCAGUAAAUGCUGAACAACAAGUAACAAAAACAAUUAUUUAAAUUAAAUAUAUACUGUGUGUGUGUGUGUGUGUGUGUGCGUGCGUGCGUGCGUGUGUGCGUGUGUGCGUGUGUGUCAGUCAUUGUCUCCAUCCCCAGGAGGUGCCCGAAGUUCUUCUUCCGCUGCCUGAAAAAAUCAAACAUUAUAUUUACCAAUCACUUCAACGACUUUUUAAUUACUUUUAACUUCACUUUGUUUAUAAGUACUAAGUAAAUAAAUCAAAACAGUUAUGUUAUUCUAGAGAAUAUGUAUAUAUAUAUAUAGAGAGAGAGAGAGAGAGAGAGAGAGAGAGAGGGGAGGUCUCAUUGAAUAAAACAACUUACAGGUGUCGCGACCACCUUGGCACGGUGAGGUGCAUGUUUGAGGGUUUCCCCUAUACAUGUAUCAAUUUCCUUUUCUGUGUGUUUCGGAAAUUGUUUGGCACAAGCACCUAGAAGAGAAAAAAGGUAACAAAAUAAAUGUGAAAGUCUCUAAUGCAGGGCUCCAGACUAUGCUGGAAAGUUUUUACAAGAACAACAGUUCACAGCUCCACCGAACAAAAAUGGAAAAAAGAAGCACGUAAACAUUUAAAAUGGACCAUUAUUAUGACGUUAUUGUCAUACAUGAUUACAUUUUAAAAUAUGUAGACUAGGCUAUUAUAGUUAUUAUUAUAGUUUGGAUUAUUUUAUAUUUUUAUUUUAUAUUUUUUAUAAUAUCCCAUGAGUCCUAAUGCAAUUUCAACUAUUUCUGAAGCGCUUUUAUAAAGAACACCGCUUUCUCACAUAACGCAGUGAAGCAGCCCUGCACGAGAGAAUAAUUGAUUCUCGAGCCAUCGAUAUCAACAGAUUCAGCACCAUCGCCUCGGACAGCACCGGGGAACGGCGCGAUGUGGAAAUAAAAUUGCUACAUUAUGAGACACAAUUGCCCUGUUCCCUCCAAAAUUGAUAAAAAUGCAUAUUCUACAAGGGGGGUAAAACAAUCUAAAUAAAUCUAUGACGAUUAUCACUAUUGAAAUAAAAUGCGAAAAUAAAUUAAAAGUGUUUCGCCAUAUUACAGUAAGUAAGCCUAUACAUGGCAUGCAAAAUAUUAAUUUUUAUUUCAGCGUUGAGCAUUAUAAACAAUCAAACACGAAUCUGACGAGCUCAUGAUGCAAUAACCAAUCAUAUGAGUUUAGAUAGUGAAGAAAAAAACCUGCUGGUUCGCGGCAGUUUUUGCCGCGUUCACGCCAGUGCCGCUCACCUCAGACAGAGACAGACACAGUCUGGAUUUCACUGAAUUCACUCGAGGAAAACUGUAGAUGUAAGUAAGAUAUUAAUUUAAUUUAGCCUACAAUAAUUUGUAUUUAUUGUAAUAUUGAAAAUGUUUUUGUGCUUUCGUGAAAUUAAAUAUAAGCAUAGACCUAUAUACAGUUAGAGUCCUGCACAGGUUCGGGUACCCGCAGGUUUUUGCUCAAACGGGCGAAAAAUAUCCACCUGUGUCGGGUGCGGGUCGGGUCGGACACGGGGGAAACACGGGUUUAAA